rnacentral:rRNA from 1 species
UGGGGAAUAUUGGACAAUGGGGGAAACCCUGAUCCAGCGACGCCGCGUGAGUGAAGAAGUAUUUCGGUACGUAAAGCUCUAUCAGCAGGAAAGAAAAUGACGGUACCUGACUAAGAAGCCCCGGCUAACUACGUGCCAGCAGCCGCGGUAAUACGUAGGGGGCAAGCGUUAUCCGGAUUUACUGGGUGUAAAGGGAGCGUAGACGGCAGCGCAAGUCUGGAGUGAAAUGCCGGGGCCCAACCCCGGAACUGCUCUGGAAACUGUGAAGCUGGAGUGCAGGAGAGGUAAGCGGAAUUCCUGGUG